AUCGAACGCUGGCGGCAGGCUUAACACAUGCAAGUAGAGCGAGUGGCGGACGGGUGCGUAAUGUCUGGGAAACUGCCUGCUGGCGGGGGAUAACUACUGGAAACGGUAGCUAAUACCGCAUACCAUAAGUUGUUCCCAGAUGGGUUUAGCUAGUAGGUGGGGUAAUGGCGCACCUAGGCGACGAUCCCUAGCUGGUCUGAGAGGGUGACCAGCCACAAUGGAACUGAGACACGGUCCAGACUCCUACGGGAGGCAGCAGUGGGGAAUAUUGCACAAUGGGCGCAAGCCUGAUGCAGCCAUGCCGCGUGUGUGAAGAAGGCCUUCGGGUUGUAAAGCACUUUCAGCGAGGAGGCGUUACCAGCAGAAGAAGCACCGGCUAACUCCGUGCCAGCAGCCGCGGUAAUAC
rnacentral:rRNA from 1 species